GCAUAUCAAUAAGCGGAGGAAAAGAAACCAACAGGGAUUGCCUCAGUAACGGCGAGUGAAGCGGCAAGAGCUCAAAUUUGAAAUCUGGCUCCUUCGGGGUCCGAGUUGUAAUUUGUAGAGGAUGCUUCGGGUGCGGCCCCCGUCUAAGUGCUCUGGAACGGGCCAUCGGAGAGGGUGAAAAUCCCGUCUGGGAUGGGGUGUCCGCGUCCAUGUGAAGCUCCUUCGACGAGUCGAGUUGUUUGGGAAUGCAGCUCUAAAUGGGUGGUAAAUUUCAUCUAAAGCUAAAUACUGGCCGGAGACCGAUAGCGCACAAGUAGAGUGAUCGAAAGAUGAAAAGCACUUUGAAAAGAGAGUUAAACAGCACGUGAAAUUGUUGAAAGGGAAGCGCUUGCGACCAGACUCGCUUCCGGGGUUCAGCCGGCUUUCGGGCCGGUGUACUUCCCCGGGGGCGGGCCAGCGUCGGUUUGGGCGGCCGGUCAAAGGCCCCUGGAAUGUAACGCCUCUCGGGGCGCCUUAUAGUCAGGGGUGUCAUGCGGCCAGCCUGGACCGAGGAACGCGCUUCGGCACGGACGCUGGCAUAAUGGUCGUAAACGACCCGUCUUGAAACACGGACCAAGGAGUCUAACAUCUACGCGAGUGUUCGGGUGUCAAACCCGUGCGCGCAGUGAAAGCGAACGGAGGUGGGAGCCCCCUCGAGGGGCGCACCAUCGACCGAUCCUGAUGUCUUCGGAUGGAUUUGAGUAAGAGCGUAGCUGUGGGGACCCGAAAGAUGGUGAACUAUGCCUGAAUAGGGCGAAGCCAGAGGAAACUCUGGUGGAGGCUCGCAGCGGUUCUGACGUGCAAAUCGAUCGUCAAAUUUGGGUAUAGGGGCGAAAGACUAAUCGAACCAUCUGGUAGCUGGUUCCUGCCGAAG
rnacentral:rRNA from 1 species